CUUUCCCUCUUUCUUUCGGCCUAACACAUGCAAGUCGAACGGCAGCACAGUAAGAGCUUGCUCUUACGGGUGGCGAGUGGCGGACGGGUGAGGAAUACAUCGGAAUCUACUUUUUCGUGGGGGAUAACGUAGGGAAACUUACGCUACUACCGCAUACGACCUACGGGUGAAAGCAGUGGAUCUUCGGACCUUGCGCGACUGAAUGAGCCGAUGUCGGAUUAGCUAGUUGGCGGGGUAAAGGCCCACCAAGGCCACGAUCCGUAGCUGGUCUGAGAGGAUGAUCAGCCACACUGGAACUGAGACACGGUCCAGACUCCUACGGGAGGCAGCAGUGGGGAAUAUUGGACAAUGGGCGAAAGCCUGAUCCAGCCAUACCGCGUGGGUGAAGAAGGCCUUCGGGUUGUAAAGCCCUUUUGUUGGGAAAGAAAAGCAGCAGAUUAAUACCCCGCUGUUCUGACGGUACCCAAAGAAUAAGCACCGGCUAACUUCGUG
rnacentral:rRNA from 1 species